GUAGUCUGGUUCAGUGUGUGUCAGUUUCUCGUACUGUAGAGUUGUGGUUAGUGUUUCUGAGCGUGGGUCAUGAGGAGUUAGGUAGUCUGGUUCAGUGUGUGUCAGUUUCUCGUACUGUAGAGUUGUGGUUAGUGUUUCUGAGUGUGGGUCAUGAGGAGUUAGGUAGUCUGGUUCAGUGUGUGUCAGUAGCUCGUACUGUAGAGUUGUGGUUAGUGUUUCUGAGUGUGGGUCAUGAGGAGUUAGGUAGUCUGGUUCAGUGUGUCAGUAGCUCGUACUGUAGAGUUGUGGUUAGUGUUUCUGAGCGUGGGUCAUGAGGUGUUAGGUAGUCUGGUUCAGUGUGUGUCAGUAGCUUGUACUGUAGAGUUGGGGUUAGUGUUUCUGAGUGUGGGUCAUGAGGGGUUAGGUAGUCUGGUUCAGUGUGUGUCAGUAGCUCGUACUGUAGAGUUGUGGUUAGUGUUUCUGAGCGUGGGUCAUGAGGAGUUAGGUAGUCUGGUUCAGUGUGUGUCAGUAGCUCGUACUGUAGAAUUGUGGUUAGUGUUUCUGAGCGUGGGUCAUGAGGAGUUAGGUAGUCUGGUUCAGUGUGUGUCUGUAGCUCGUACUGUAGAGUUGUGGUUAGUGUUUCUGAGUGUGGGUCAUGAGGUGUUAGGUAGUCUCGUUCAGUGUAGAGUUGUGGUUAGUGUUUCUGAAGGGUCUUGCCCUUUAUCUAGGAGCAGAGAGGUUUCAGUCUGCUGUGCUUCACCCACCAGAGUUUAAACAAGCACUGCUGUCUGUCACCAGCUGUUUACAUCAGAGGGAAACCCAAGAAGGGACAGCAUUCUCUCUCUCUAACUCUCUCUCUCUCUCUGUUUAACUGUCUCUUUCUCACUCUCUUUCUAAUUCUCUCUCUUUCUCUUUAACUUUCUCUCUCUCUAUCUCACUCUCUGUUUAACUGUCUCUCUCUAUCUCACUCUCUGUUUAACUGUCUCUCUCUUUCUCUAUCUGUUUAACUGUCUCUCUCUUUCUCUCUAUUUUUCUUUCUCUUUAACUUUCUCU